GACUAGGAAGGAAGAGUAGGAAAUAUCGUUUUUUGUCCGUCUCCUCCGCUCCUCUCCUCGUCUUUUCUUUUCACAGAUAAUUGAUUUGAAUUAAUUGAUGUUCCUUUUCCCAAAACACAUCAAAAAAAUCUUUAACAUCAUCGGUUCUUCAAGAUGGCCAGAGCCACCGACCAACACCUCUCCCCCUAGAAUUUUCUGAUCGAUCCCAUCCACCCUCGAUAGAUAUUCAUAAUCCUCGGAUCUUCUCUCUCCUCACAAUGUACCAGUGGAGGAAAUUCGACUUCUUCGAGGAGAAAAACGCUGGCAAAUCCAACAGGGUACCGGAGGAGGUGAGCGCUAGAAUCGGUUGUUGCUCAAGCGGCCGAGGCAAGGUGGUCAUCGGCUGCGAUGACGGCACCGUCAGCCUCCUCGAUCGCGGCCUCAAUUUCAAUUACGCCUUCCAGGCUUUCUCUUCCUCCGUUCUAUUUCUCCAGCAGCUCAAGCAACGCAACUUUCUGGUAUCUGUUGGAGAAGAUGAACAAAUAUCCCUGCAGCAGUCAGCUAUCUGCCUUAAAGUUUUUGAUCUCGACAAGAUGCAGCCGGAGGGAUCAAGCACCACGAUCCCUGAUUGUAUUGGUAUAUUGCGAAUAUUCACUAAUCAGUUCCCUGAGGCAAAGAUUACAUCAUUUUUAGUACUAGAGGAAGCACCGCCAAUACUACUGAUAGCUAUUGGCUUAGAUAAUGGUUGCAUUUACUGCAUCAAAGGGGAUAUUGGACGUGAGCGUAUCUCCCGUUUCAAGCUUCAGGUUGAUAACCUCUCAGGCAAAAGCCAGUCUUCUAUAACUGGUCUAGGUUUCAGAGUGGAUGGUCAAGCCCUUCAACUGUUUGCUGUAACUCCAGCUUCAGUUAGCUUGUUUAGUCUGCAGGACCAACCACCGAGACGGCAAACUCUAGAUCAGAUUGGAUCCAGUGUCAACAGUGUUACAAUGAGCGACCGCUUGGAGUUGAUAAUUGGUCGACCUGAGGCCGUGUAUUUUUAUGAAAUUGAUGGACGUGGUCCGUGCUGGGCUUUUGAAGGAGAGAAGAAAUUUCUGGGAUGGUUUCGUGGAUACCUUUUAUGCGUUAUUGCAGACCAAAGAAAUGGCAAGAAUACAUUCAAUGUUUAUGACCUGAAGAACCGUUUGAUUGCCCAUAGUAUAGGGGUUAAAGAAGUUACUCACAUGCUUUGUGAAUGGGGUAACAUAAUCCUCAUAAUGUCUGACAAAUCAGCUUUGUGUAUUGGGGAGAAAGAUAUGGAAAGCAAGUUAGAUAUGCUGUUUAAAAAAAACCUAUAUACAGUAGCCAUAAAUCUUGUUCAAAGUCAACAGGCUGAUGCUGCUGCAACUGCAGAGGUGCUAAGAAAGUACGGGGACCAUUUAUAUAUUAAACAAGACUAUGAUGAGGCUAUGGCCCAGUAUAUCCACACUAUUGGUCAUCUUGAACCUUCGUAUGUCAUACAGAAGUUUUUAGAUGCACAAAGAAUCUACAACCUUACCAACUACUUGGAGAAAUUACAUGAGAAGGGGCUUGCUUCUAAAGAUCACACAACUCUUCUCUUGAAUUGUUACACGAAAUUGAAAGAUGUGGAAAAGCUAAAUAUAUUUAUUAAAAGUGAGGAUGGUGUCGGGGAACAUAAGUUUGAUGUGGAAACUGCAAUAAGGGUUUGCCGUGCUGCCAAUUAUCAUGAGCAUGCAAUGUAUGUCGCUAAGAAGGCAGGGAGGCAUGAAUUGUACUUAAAAAUCUUACUCGAAGAUCUUGGUAGAUAUGACGAAGCCUUGCAAUAUAUCUCAAGCCUUGAACCAAGUCAAGCAGGGGUGACAGUGAAGGAGUAUGGUAAGAUUCUCAUAAAGCACAAGCCAGUGGAGACAAUUGAGAUACUCAUGAGGCUUUGCACAGAGGAUAAAGAAUCAGUUAACCAAGGAGCCUCAAGUGAUGCAUACUUAUCUAUGUUGCCAUCUCCUGUUGAUUUUCUCAACAUUUUCAUACAUCACCCGCAGUCUCUUAUGGAUUUUCUUGAAAGAUAUACCGAUAAGGUGAAAGACUCACCUGCUCAAGUUGAAAUCCACAACACACUCUUGGAGUUGUAUUUGUCCAAUGACAUGAACUUUCCAUCAACCUUACAAGCAAACUAUAUUGAGGAUCUUAAUCUUGGAGUAACUGGGAUGUCAAGAGCUGAGUCCAAUGGGAAAUAUGUUGCUGAUCGCAAAGACUCAGCCAAGGAAAAGGACUGUCCGGAAAGGCGGGACAAGGGUCUACGCUUGCUUAAAAGUGCUUGGCCAUCUGAGCUUGAACAUCCACUAUAUGAUGUUGAUUUGGCUAUUAUUCUGUGUGAAAUGAAUGUAUUCAAUGAAGGGCUGCUGUAUUUAUAUGAAAAGAUGAAACUCUUUAAAGAGGUGAUUGCUUGCUAUAUGCAGGCACAUGAUCAUGAGGGAUUGAUUGGUUGCUGCAAAAGACUUGGGGAUUCAGGUAAAGGAGGGGACCCUUCUCUUUGGGCAGAUCUGCUGAAGUAUUUUGGUGAACUUGGAGAAGAUUGCUCCAAAGAAGUGAAGGAAGUUUUGACCUAUAUCGAAAGGGAUGACAUCUUGCCUCCUAUUAUUGUUCUUCAAAUGCUGUCCAGAAAUCCAUGCCUCACACUCUCUGUCAUCAAGGAUUAUAUUGCUCGAAAGCUUGAACAGGAAUCAAAGCUGAUCGAAGAGGACCGGCGAGCUAUUGAGAAGUAUCAGGAAGACACAUUGGCAAUGAGAAAAGAAGUUCAAGAUCUCAGGACAAAUGCCAGAAUAUUUCAGCUUAGCAAGUGUACUGCUUGCACUUUCACACUUGAUCUCCCUGCUGUACACUUUAUGUGUAUGCACUCAUUCCACCAGCGCUGCCUUGGUGAUAAUGAAAAAGAAUGUCCUGAAUGUGCUCCUGAAUAUAGAUCUGUCCUGGAAACAAAGAGAAGCUUGGAGCAGAAUUCUAAAGACCAGGAUCAAUUCUUCCAGCAAGUGAAGAGUUCAAAGGAUGGGUUUUCGGUGAUUGCUGAGUACUUUGGAAAAGGAAUCAUAAGCAAAACGACUAAUGGACCCAUCAGUGCUCCUAGAUCAGGCAGCAUUUCUUCCAGCAGUGGCCUCUGAGCAUUGUUGCUUGCUUGUUUCUCUGUCUCAAUAUUGGUAACAACAAUAUGUUGCAACACCCAAGGACUAAGGGCAGAAUUCUUACCAUUAGGCAAUAGUCAUGCAAGAUGGUGAAUCCUAUUUAAUUUACUUGCUGGGACUGGCAUCGUUCUCACAUUUGUCUUCAUUUCUGCCAGAAAUGAAUAAGGGUUUAAAUCUGUUGAUAUCCAUGGAUGAAGAAACAAAUUUGAAGCAAAAAAAGAGCAUGAUACUCAUGCAUUGAGGGUGGUAUUUGUUACCGAUUUUCCAAAUCUUUUUGCAACUGGGGUACUCUCUCCUGCUAAUUCUGCUGGCAUAGGUUUUGUAUUCAGUGCAGGCUAUCACACUUUGUUUUAUAAGAAACAUUUUCAAUUUCUGGCGGGUUAUUUUAAAGGAACUUGCAAGCUAUUAUUCUGCUUAAAGAAUGAGUGGCAAUCAAUUGUUCGUCUAUGGUA